AGAAUGAGCCCUUGAGAGCAGAUAUUGGUUUAAUUUUGCCUCCCUGUCACCCAGCUCACUCUGACCCAGGGAAUGCCAUCUCAUGUUUGCCAAAUGAGUCACAGCUCAGGCUGUCUGAGGUUGAACAAAAUCAGUUGAGAAUCCGCAGAGAACUAGAAACAAGCCACAAGGCAGGAGUGCUCUAUGGAGUUCGACUUAACCAAGAAUCAUCUAGCCUGGGGAUUCUGCCCCACGGACAUGAAGCAAAGAAAAACAGCAGUGAUCUAUCACAACAUGGAGAAAACUAGAAAACAUACCAGAAGAAGCUUCCAGCCUUUCCAAUCUGCUGAUCAACCAGUCGAGGGAGCCAGAAAAUUGAGCACAGUUU